rnacentral:rRNA from 1 species
UGAGGAAUAUUGGUCAAUGGGCGCAAGCCUGAACCAGCCAUCCCGCGUGAAGGAUGAAUGUACUAUGUAUUGUAAACUUCUUUUCUGCAAAGAGAAAGGGCACUACGUGUAGUGUUUUGACGGUAUUGCAGGAAUAAGCAUCGGCUAACUCCGUGCCAGCAGCCGCGGUAAUACGGAGGAUGCGAGCGUUAUCCGGAUUCAUUGGGUUUAAAGGGUGCGUAGGCGGCUUUUUAAGUCAGUGGUGAAAUCCUGCGGCUCAACCGUAGAACUGCCAUUGAUACUGAGAAGCUUGAAUGUAAUUGAGGUAGGCGGAAUGAGUAGUGUAGCGGUGAAAUGCUUAGAUAUUACUCAGAACACCGAUUGCGAAGGCAGCUUACCAAGUUAUGAUUGACGCUGAGGCACGAAAGCGUGGGGAUCGAACA